rnacentral:rRNA from 1 species
AUUUUAGAUAAAUUCUGCUCAAUGAGUAAAUUAAAUAGCUGCAGUAAAUUAACUGUACUAAGGUAGCAUAAUAAGUUGCUUUAUAAUUAAAAGCUUGAAUGAAAGAAAUAAUGUGAAACAAGCUUUUUAAACUAAAGUAGUAAAAAUUAAUAUUUAAGUGAAAAAUCUUAAAUAAAAUCAAAAGACAAGAAGACCCUUUAGAACUUUACAAAUUAACUUAAUUUCAUUUGGUUAAUUUGUUAGAUUGGGGAGAUUUUUAAAUAAAUAAAUCUUUAGAUAUAAAAAAAUGAUUUAAAUCAAAUUAAAUUAUCCAAAUAUGAAAUAAAACAAGUUACCUAAGGGAUAACAGCGCAAAAUUUUUGAGAAGUUCUCAUUUACAAAAUAAAUUGCGACCUCGAUGUGGGAUUAAGAACAACUUAUAAAGAAAAAUU